CUAAAGACAAGUCAGUGUUCAAACACACAAUGCACUGAUUCACCUUCCCUUUCCCAUGGAGAAUUCCCAAAAGUGAAUCUCUCAGUCAGUGUGUGUGAGGCGUCCUAGCAUCACUGCACAGAGCCCAAGUAGGUUAUGUCUGGAGUAAAGCAGGGUUUGCCCUGGGCAUGGCUGGGCAGGUUCAAGGCCAAGACCAGGUGCCUGUGGCUCUGGUGAGGAUGCUGGGUUGUGCAGGUCAUGUGGGAUCCUGUGGGAUCGAGUGUCAGGCCUGGGUUCACACCAGAGUCAGCAACAGUGGAGUCUUGAGUGGCCAGCCUCCUGCUGCCCCUCUGAGGGGAUGCCCCAGAGGGCUAGGGCUCCCCCUAGGCCACCUCUGCAAGGUCCCCAGCAUCAUUUCCCCACCCUGGACCAAGCCUUACAUGUGGACCUUCAGAGACACACACCUAAACCACAGCUGGUGGGAGAGAAGCUCACCAUUGGAAGUCAACAGACCACACAAUCCAUAAGUGCAAUGGAGAAAACAGCUUGAGGACUGAAGAAAUGAAAAGUGCAAGCAAAUAACAUUUAUUAGAUUUUUUUUGAAAUUAACCUGAGCAGAAGGCAGAAAUCAUCAUUCUGAGCAAAGAUCCUGUAUCCAGGGAGAUCAGCAAAGCCAUGACCACCACUCAAAGUGGAGUGGAGCAACUCAACAGGGUGAGAAAAUACCCAAGCAUGAAGCAUCAUACUUGGGCUCCAGGAAGCUGGACCUGCUAACUGGAUCUAGAGAUGGCUUGGGGUUGGCAGAGGGUUAUGAAGACUGCAGAGUUGGGGCUGAGUAGCUCUUGCUCUCUGAAGUCUCCACCCAGUCCAGAUGGUGACCAAGGCCUCAGGGAAGGUAAUGCUGCCCCUCUGCAGAAUGGAAGUGGUACAUGGGACUGAUCUUAUUCUCCAUCUCCUUCCUUAUGAGCUGACCUCACAUUUGCGGCACCGGUGGAAGCCAUCAUGGGGGUGGGGAGCCUCACUGGGAUCCUCACAUGACCUGUGGAACCUGGAGUGUGGACACCAGAAGUGAAGUCUGAACCAUCAUGGGGAGCUCCUGGGGAGAACCUGGCAACUUUCAUCACUGGGGCAGCUGGAAGGACAGCGAUGCACCAUGCAUGGUGGCCAAGCCAGGAUGAGCUUGUCUGUGGUGAGCUGGGUGAGAGAAUUUAGAAGAGCUCCAUACCUAGCAAUGCAAACAUGAGAUGCCACAUCUAUGUGCAUUGCGGACAUGAGGAGGCACAGAAGUUCUU
rnacentral:lncRNA from 1 species